rnacentral:hammerhead_ribozyme from 1 species
GUACUACUGAUGAGUCCAAAAAUAGGACGAAACAGUUGCCAAGUAC